rnacentral:tRNA from 1 species
UCCGUGCGUAGCUCAAUGGUAGAGCAGGCCGCUGUUAACGGUCAGGUUGAAGGUUCGAGUCCUUCCGUCGGAGCCA